rnacentral:rRNA from 1 species
GGCGGCGUGCCUAAUACAUGCAAGUCGAGCGAAUGGAUUAAGAGCUUGCUCUUAUGAAGUUAGCGGCGGACGGGUGAGUAACACGUGGGUAACCUGCCCAUAAGACUGGGAUAACUCCGGGAAACCGGGGCUAAUACCGGAUAACAUUUUGAACCGCAUGGUUCGAAAUUGAAAGGCGGCUUCGGCUGUCACUUAUGGAUGGACCCGCGUCGCAUUAGCUAGUUGGUGAGGUAACGGCUCACCAAGGCAACGAUGCGUAGCCGACCUGAGAGGGUGAUCGGCCACACUGGGACUGAGACACGGCCCAGACUCCUACGGGAGGCAGCAGUAGGGAAUCUUCCGCAAUGGACGAAAGUCUGACGGAGCAACGCCGCGUGAGUGAUGAAGGCUUUCGGGUCGUAAAACUCUGUUGUUAGGGAAGAACAAGUGCUAGUUGAAUAAGCUGGCACCUUGACGGUACCUAACCAGAAAGCCACGGCUAACUACGUGCCAGCAGCCGCGGUAAUACGUAGGUGGCAAGCGUUAUCCGGAAUUAUUGGGCGUAAAGCGCGCGCAGGUGGUUUCUUAAGUCUGAUGUGAAAGCCCACGGCUCAACCGUGGAGGGUCAUUGGAAACUGGGAGACUUGAGUGCAGAAGAGGAAAGUGGAAUUCCAUGUGUAGCGGUGAAAUGCGUAGAGAUAUGGAGGAACACCAGUGGCGAAGGCGACUUUCUGGUCUGUAACUGACACUGAGGCGCGAAAGCGUGG